GGCAUAUUAGGACAAGGUUUUGUAUCAACUCUCAACACCAUACAUUUUAUUACUCCUUAAUUUUUACAAUAGUUAGUUCAAAUGAUCAUUUUAUUUUAUACUCACUUACUAUUUCUUUACUCCAUUCCUUUUGCCUUCAAAAGUACUACCAUGGAUAAGCCUAACAACAAUCAGACUAAGUCUUUCUGCAAGUUUUGAACCGGAGACUUUCAUAAUGAAUUGGUAAGUUUCUAACUUGCAGUUUUUCAUACAAAGGAAAUAAAUAUAUUUUGAAGUUUUUGCUUAUGAAAGUUAAGUUCUUAUGAUAUCUCUGUAGAUUUUAUUUUUUAUUUUUUCAAUAUUUGCUAAUGGAUUAAUAAUGCUUCCAUUUACCAAUUCAUAUUAAUGACCAUCCGAUUAAAUUUAUUAAAUUAUGUUUAUUUCAAUGACAAUACCAUACCAACAAAAAUUACAUAAUCUUGACAUACGUUACCAAUUUUAGGUUUUAUUGCUGAGUUUUUGUCAACACAUUUUUAGUUAUGUAGAUUAUUAUAUUUGUUUAGUGCCAUUUCAACCUAUAAAACAAAUUGUGCAUACUAAUUCCAUUUCUAUAGGUUAUUCCACCUGCAUUUACAAAGGAUUGUAAUGACACUGUUACGAUUAUAAGACUCUCCAAACCAAAAAUGGUUAUAUCCAGCAUGUAGGGCUUGUCGCUCAAGAUCCCAUUUAGUUGGAACAAUUUAUCAAUGUAUGAAGGAUUACUAUCUUUGCACUAAAAUUGAUUGCACGUAUGUAUUUUUCUCCAUAUGUUAAAAUAAGCUUCUUUAUACUUCAUGUUCAAAACUAUCUAACAUCCUCAUAUUAUCAUAGACACAAGCUUUGUCUCAUGGGAAGUGACGAGUCAUAUGAACUCGAGUUCAUCCUAUUUGAUGUUAUAGCCUAACAGCUUGUUGGCAAACCAGUGGAGAAACUACUUAGCAUAUAUUCCAUGGAUGAUACUUCAACUGAAAUAUCAAGCUUAGUCGGCCAGAAGUACACUUUUAUUGUUAGGAUAUCAGCUUAAAAAAAAAUAUCACAACUGAUUCUCCAUCGUUCCAAGUUGUACACAUUUCUCAACAGUAUGGAAAACAGACAUAUAUACCCAUAAUUCAAACAAAUGAAGCCAUCAUCAGUUCAGGUUCUGCAAAUACAAUACUACCUGUUGCUAAAGAACAAAUGCAACAGAUAAAUUUUGACAUUAGCUUUAUUGAUCAUCUCUAUUACUAGAUGAAUUGAAGAUCAAUUACUACACAAUAUUUUCACAGCUGUUACUCUUACUUAAUAAUAUAGGAUACAACACCACAUGUUCAAACUGAAAAUGAUCCAAUGGAGAUAAAAGACAAUGAGUGGACUGCUAUUUAUUUGAUAAAAUUCAUUAAUGCCAUAUCUUUUAUACAAUACUAACUACAUUUAUUGUAUUUUAUUGCCAUCCUCAUGAGUAUUAAAUAAAGAAACCUUAUCUGGGAUGAAGAGGACAUAUAUCACUAUAGCAAUAAACCCACGGCAGGAUCCUCCUAAGGAGACCAAAGAUGACGAUGAUGUACACGUUGAUCCAAAUAAGAAGAAUUCAAGGCAUGUCAAAAAACCAAGGCUGGAAAAAAAUUCCUUAAUAAAAAACAAGGUAACUUUUGUUCCUACUCAAGAUAGCUCUCACUUUUGGCGAUCAACAAGUCAGAACUGCGGUUAAUCUUCAAUACUUAUUUUGGAGUGGUCCUAUAUUUGCAAUCCUAAAGUAUAAAUGUGUUGGCUAUGCUUUUAUACCAUCUUCUUGCUGUUUCAAACCUUGUAAUAUAAUUGUAACCCUGUUAUAACCCUGUUGUUUCAAACUACUGUAUAUGUUUUCUUUUAUAUAACCUUGUAAUAUAGUUUGUUGUACUUUA